rnacentral:rRNA from 1 species
UUGCCAGCCCGCUCAGAACUCAAAGGAAUUGACGGGGCCCGCACAAGCGGAGGAGCAUGUGGUUUAAUUCGAUGAUACGCGAGGAACCUUACCUGGGCUCGAACGUAAGAUGACUGUAGGUGAAAGCUUACAUCUCUUCGGAGCAUUUUACGAGGUGCUGCAUGGUUGUCGUCAGCUCGUGCCGUGAGGUGUCGGGUUAAGUCCCAUAACGAGCGCAACCCCUACCUUUAGUUGCCAUCAGGUUAAGCUGGGGACUCUAAAGGAACUGCCUACGCAAGUAGUGAGGAAGGCGGGGAUGACGUCAAAUCAGCACGGCCCUUACGUCCAGGGCUACACACGUGCUACAAUGGCCGAUACAGAGGGCAGCUACCUGGUGACAGGAUGCAAAUCUCCAAAGUCGGUCUCAGUUCGGAUCGGAGUCUGCAACCCGACUCCGUGAAGUUGGAUUCGCUAGUAAUCGCGCAUCAGCCAUGGCGCGGUGAAUACGUUCCCGGGCCUU